rnacentral:tRNA from 1 species
GGGCGCUUAGCUCAGUUGGUAGAGCGGCUCCUUUACACGGAGUAGGUCAGCGGUUCGAGCCCGUUAGCGCCCACCA